rnacentral:rRNA from 1 species
AACGAACGCUGGCGGCAUGCCUAACACAUGCAAGUCGAACGAAGCCUUCGGGCUUAGUGGCGCACGGGUGCGUAACGCGUGGGAAUCUGCCCCUUGCUUCGGAAUAACAGUUAGAAAUGACUGCUAAUACCGGAUGAAGUCUUCGGACCAAAGAUUUAUCGGCAAGGGAUGAGCCCGCGUAGGAUUAGGUAGUUGGUGGGGUAAAGGCCUACCAAGCCGACGAUCCUUAGCUGGUCUGAGAGGAUGAUCAGCCACACUGGGACUGAGACACGGCCCAGACUCCUACGGGAGGCAGCAGUGGGGAAUAUUGGACAAUGGACGCAAGUCUAAUCCAGCAAUGCCGCGUGAGUGAUGAAGGCCUUAGGGUUGUAAAGCUCUUUUACCAGGGAUGAUAAUGACAGUACCUGGAGAAUAAGCUCCGGCUAACUCCGUG